AAGGGGAACAGUGGCGGACUGGUGAGUAACACGUAGGUGACCUGCCCCGAAGAGGGGGAUAACCAUUCGAAAGGAUGGCUAAUACCCCGUACGGUCGGUUAUUCGGUUAGCCGAUCAAAGCUCCGGUGCUUUGGGAGGGGCCUGCGGCCCAUCAGCUAGUUGGUAGGGUAACGGCCUACCAAGGCGAAGACGGGUAGCUGGUCUGAGAGGAUGAUCAGCCACAAUGGCACUGAAACACGGGCCAU
rnacentral:rRNA from 1 species